rnacentral:rRNA from 1 species
UACGUAGGGUGCGAGCGUUAAUCGGAAUUACUGGGCGUAAAGGGUGCGCAGGCGGCCUCGCAAGUCAGGCGUGAAAUCCCCGAGCUUAACUUGGGAAUUGCGUUUGAAACUACGAGGCUGGAGUGUGGCAGAGGGAGGUGGAAUUCCACGUGUAGCGGUGAAAUGCGUAGAUAUGUGGAGGAACACCGAUGGCGAAGGCAGCCUCCUGGGCCAACACUGACGCUCAUGCACGAAAGCGUGGGGAGCAAACAGG